rnacentral:rRNA from 1 species
GACGCUAAUACCGCAUACGUCCUACGGGAGAAAGCAGGGGACCUUCGGGCCUUGCGCUAUCAGAUGAGCCUAGGUCGGAUUAGCUAGUUGGUGGGGUAAUGGCUCACCAAGGCGACGAUCCGUAACUGGUCUGAGAGGAUGAUCAGUCACACUGGAACUGAGACACGGUCCAGACUCCUACGGGAGGCAGCAGUGGGGAAUAUUGGACAAUGGGCGAAAGCCUGAUCCAGCCAUGCCGCGUGUGUGAAGAAGGUCUUCGGAUUGUAAAGCACUUUAAGUUGGGAGGAAGGGCAGUAAAUUAAUACUUUGCUGUUUUGACGUUACCGACAGAAUAAGCACCGGCUAACUCUGUGCCAGCAGCCGCGGUAAUACAGAGGGUGCAAGCGUUAAUCGGAAUUACUGGGCGUAAAGCGCGCGUAGGUGGUUCGUUAAGUUGGAUGUGAAAUCCCCGGGCUCAACCUGGGAACUGCAUUCAAAACUGACGAGCUAGAGUAUGGUAGAGGGUGGUGGAAUUUCCUGUGUAGCGGUGAAAUGCGUA